UCCGAUGUGGUCUAGUGGCUAGGAUUACCCGCUCUCAUCAGUGAGCAAGUUCCGGGUAGGCCCGGGUUCAAUUCCCGGCAUCGGAA
rnacentral:tRNA from 1 species